UGCUGGUUGCCUUGUUGGAGAUAGUCAAGAGUGCACCAAGUAGGAUUAGGAGGAGAAGCAAGGAUAAUUAGGAAACAGCUUGUGGACAUGACAACUCAUAUCAUCAAAACUGUCAAAUUGAACAAAGACAUGUUUCUUUUUUUGUGUAUUGGUGGGGGGUAGAGGAACUAGAUAGAGAGGGUCCAGUCCAGGGUGAAAGGGUUG
rnacentral:lncRNA from 1 species